CAGGGACUCGGAAAACAAGCUGAGAGUGCCCAAGGCUUGGAGGAAAUCUUGGGCUCCACCUUACAGUGUGCUGCUGCAGUGCUCUGACAGCUCAAAGAAGCCUUUUGGUCCUAUGUCACACCCCUGGGAGCUUCCCUGUGCACAUCCGUGAGCCACAGAGGUCAGGCCGUAAUGGGCGUAAAGAAAGACAGACGGACAGAAAAGCAAGUUCAAAGAGAAGGAAAUCUCUUUUCUGUUUCAAGCCCCUGAAAGUCCUGAAGAGGAGAGAGGAGGCGACAGGCAAACAGUGCUCAUAUUAUCAGUUCACACACUUUAACCUGGCGCUGCCAAGCCCACCAUAUCCCCAGGUGCCUCAUCUACAUGUCUUUUAAAUGCCUCCAGGGAAGGCGACCCUACCAGUGCCCUCUCCAGCCUGUUCUUGAAACUCAAUCAAAAUAAAUUAAAAAGAAAAAGUU